AGUUUCAGCCUACUUUUAUGAUUUGUGUUUUUAAAUAAUUAUUCCUUAACAGCGUCAGGCAAAACUCUGAAUCUCCCUUCUAUUUGUCAGCAGUUUGAGCUCCAUCCUGAAUCUAUCAUGUGACAAAGGGAUCAGCUUCUAAGAGGUCAAUCACCUAAAAACAGAGAGACAUUACCUUCUGCAGCAGCACUGGGAUCUGAAUGCUGGUUCCUGAGUCCUCUGAAACGUGAAGAUUUGGGGGACUGCUCUCCCCCAGCUCUCUCUAUACCUCCUCUCAGCUUUUCCCUUCCUCAGAAAGAUGCAAAACUGGACUCCAAGGACUCGGUUUCUGGUCUUUCUCCAUACAGAAAUAAGUGGGAUCGAGUGAAAGCCAUACACAAUCUAUCCAAGGAACUCGCAGAGAAGAUUGAGAUGUCAACCAAGAGACUCAGUGCAACAAGCAGGGCUGGGGACUUUGCUGACAAAACAGCAGCAGAGACAACUUGGGACCUUUUCAACAAGUCUUCUAUCACGGAGCCUGAGACUUCCAAGGAUGAGCAAGACAGGACCAUGACCUUACAAAUGCUUCUGGGAGACCCAGAUCCUGCUGAGUUACGUGUGUCCUCAGACAGGGCAUUUCAUGGGCUGGGCAGGAUCGGCCUUGUGGGCACUGAGGGAGCAACGAGCCAGGCCAGCCAGAAGAAAAUACCCACUGCUUUGUCUGGGGGGAGUGCUGGGGGCAAGGAAUUACCAUGGAACACCCACAGCAUGAAAUCAAGGCAUCUCAGCCCUGGGGAACACAGGAGCAGCACACUGAAAGGUUUCCCUAUGAAUAAAGGCUCCGAGGUGGACAUGAGCCUACUGCAUGAAAAGCCAAUAACCAGCCCAGCCUUUCCAUCUCGUGGAUUCCUCACUAGAAGGUAA
rnacentral:lncRNA from 1 species